AGAGUUUGAUCCUGGCUCAGGAUGAACGCUGGCGGCGUGCUUAAUACAUGCAAGUCGAACGGAGGUUGCAGCGAUGUAGCCUUAGUGGCGAACGGGUGAGUAACGCGUUGGUGACCUGCCCCAAAGCGAGGGAUAACAGAUCGAAAGGUCUGCUAAUACCGCAUGAGGUCUUGAAGGUUAGAGGCUUGAAGACGAAAGCAGCGAUGCGUUUUGGGAGGGGCCUGCGUCCCAUCAGCUAGUUGGUAAGGUAAAGGCUUACCAAGGCGACGACGGGUAGGGGACCUGAGAGGGUGACCCCCCACACUGGCACUGAAACACGGGCCAGACACCUACGGGUGGCAGCAGUAGGGAAUAUUGCACAAUGGGCGAAAGCCUGAUGCAGCAACGCCGCGUGCGCGAUGAAGGCCUUCGGGUCGUAAAGCGCUUUUCGGGGAGAAGAGGAAGGACGGUAUCCCCGGAAUAAGGAUCGGCUAACUACGUGCCAGCAGCCGCGGUAAAACGUAGGAUCCGAGCGUUAUCCGAAUUCACUGGGCGUAAAGCGCGUGCAGGCGGUACGGUAAGUUGGAUGUGAAAUCUCCUGGCUCAACUGGGAGAGGACGUUCAAUACUGUCGAACUAGAGGGCGGAAGAGGGAGGUGGAAUUCCCGGUGUAGUGGUGAAAUGCGUAGAUAUCGGGAGGAACACCAGAGGCGAAAGCGGCCUCCUAGGCCGCACCUGACGCUCAGACGCGAAAGCUAGGGGAGCAAACGGGAUUAGAAACCCCGGUAGUCCUAGCCGUAAACGAUGUAGACUUGGUGUUGGAGGUGUAAAAACCGCCGGUGCCGAAGCAAACGCGAUAAGUCUACCGCCUGGGGACUACGGCCGCAAGGUUAAAACUCAAAGGAAUUGACGGGGGCCCGCACAAGCAGCGGAGCGUGUGGUUUAAUUCGAUUUACGCGAAGAACCUUACCCGGGUUUGACAUGCAGGAGGUAGGGAACCGAAAGGGGACCGACCCGCAAGGGAGCCUGCACAGGUGCUGCAUGGCUGUCGUCAGCUCGUGUCGUGAGAUGUCCGGUUAAGUCCGGUAACGAGCGCAACCCACGUCGUAUGUUACAAGUGUCAUACGAUACUGCUGGUAUAAAGCCGGAGGAAGGUGUGGAUGACGUCAAGUCAGCAUGGCCUUUAUGUCCGGGGCUACACACACGCUACAAUGGCCAGUACAAUGGGUAGCAAAGCCGCGAGGUGGAGCCAAUCCGCAAAGCUGGUCACAGUUCAGAUUGUAGGCUGCAACUCGCCUACAUGAAGUCGGAGUUGCUAGUAACCGCGCGUCAGCAUUAGUGCGGUGAAUACGUUCCCGGGCCUUGUACACACCGCCCGUCACGUCAUGGGAGCUGGCAACACCUGAAGCCGGUAGCCUAACCGCGAGGAAGGCGCCGUCGAAGGUGGGGCUGGUGACUGGGACGAAGUCGUAACAAGGUA
rnacentral:rRNA from 1 species